AUGAGCAGACCUGUACAACAUGUGAGUCAGCUCAGUGGACUGGGUUANNNNNNNNNNNNNNNNNNNNNNNNNNNNNNNNNNNNNNNNNNNNNNNNNNACUCAUCAGAGUUUACCUUCUCUACUUCUGUCCACUGGCCCUACAACUCAUCAGGGUUUACCUUCUCUACUUCUGUCCACUGCCCUACAACUCAUCAGGGUUUACCUUCUCUACUUCUGUCCACUGCUACAGGGAGUGCUACCCGGCUCCCCACCUUCCCUGACUCCCUUUCUACCUUUCCUCCUUCCUUUCAUUCCAUAAUAAAGGGGGGUUCCCUUCCUUCCUACCUCCCCACCUUCCCUGCCUCUCUUUCUAUCUUCCGGCCUUCCUUCCAUCCCUCCUUCCUUCCGUCACUGUGAAACGGGCCACCCAUCUUGUCUCCUGUCUCCGGGCCCUCUCGCGCUCUCAAAUAAAGGUGCCAAUCAUUUUAAUUGGCACCCUGGAGUCAAUUGUCCCUGUGUUGUUGGAAAAGGAGGAGAGGAGAGGAGAGGAGAGGAGAGGAGAGGAGAGGAGAGGUAUAUAAUUGUUUGUCAUCCAGAGAGGGUAUAGUUAGUGGCUAACUUAUGAAUCAGCAUAAGAUUAAAUAUAUUUCCCCUAGAGCAAAUGCUACAGUUCACGUGCAGCCAUUAUUGGAUCAUAGUCUUGGUUUUGAACAGGAUGUUGUCUAUAAGAAUGAAGUAAAGUCAGUUACGUGAAGUGUUGUGGUGAAUAGAAGAGACAGACAGACCAAGUUACAUAGACAUAUAUUUAUAUGCAUAAAAAUACAUAUUAUACAAUAUUUUGUCCUUUCGAGCCAGAGAGCUUGAAAACCACUUUUUCAAACCAGAACACAAAGAAAGUCUCUUUAAAUAAGUGCAAUUUGUUAAUGAGACAAAGAAUUGUAAAGCAUAUAUCACGUUUUUAAUUUUUUCUGUCUUUUUUUGUUGUUUUUUGUUGUUGCUGUUUCUUGAUGUUGUUGUUUUUUGUUGUUGUAAACAUCACAUGGUACUGAGAUGGAGAUACUUGUGCUAAUAUCCAUAUAUUUACAUUGUAGUUGUUCUUCACUGUGAGUAGUAGAACGGUGCCGAUUAACUUGACAUGGUCGAACACAACUUUUACUUAGCCUGAUCACAGAUCAGUUUGUACUUUUAUCCAACAGCAUGACAAAUUAUAGUUGGCUUAAGCACACACAGAUUGGGAAUCAGGCUUCAACUUUACUGCCAAAAGGAAACAAUGUACUGAAUGGCCUUAUAUACUGUACCCUCACAUAACCUUACUGUGCAUAAGAACAAAACACUGCCUCUGUACUUUAUUAUUAUUAUUUAUUUUUUAAAUAAACAAACAUUGCCACACAAUCGCAUAAAACCAUCAAAGUCAUGAUACAGUAGCACCACGUAUAGAGAGAGAGAGAGAGAGGAACUGGGCCCAUAUUUACAACGUGUUUCAGAUACUUUGGGAAUAUGGGCCCUGGAGAGCCUGAAGGAGGAGAGGAAACAGUGUUCUCCAGGUUUGGGGUCAAUUCAAUUUCAAUUCCAUUCAAUUCAUAAAGUAAACCAUAUUCCAAAUCCAAUCCCAAAUGUUCCUUAUUAAAAAGCAUUGAAUAGAAUCAGAAUUGAAAUGUCAGUGUACUGCCUGAAUUGCCUGGAACUUAAAUGGUAUUGACCCCAACCCUGGUAUGUUCUACCCCCAGUCACAUCUCUCUGACAUGGGUUUAUUUGUAUAUGAAGGUGAAUUUUCAGUGUUGCACGGUGUCAGGAGAAAACGCGUAACAAAAGUCAGCGAGAGCAGAGAGAGAGAGAAAAAGAGAGAGAAAGAGAGAGAGAGAUAAAGAGAGAAACUGUUUGAUGCUGAGCUAUUUGCUAUGAAAGCACUAUCAUCUUCAACCCAGGAAGGGCAAAGGUUAGAUUUCCUUCUGUGGUGCCUUUGAAUGUUAUUUUUUGAAAAUGAGAAUGGCCUCUCCUUAAAUGAAACACACGUACUAGCUUUUUAGCGCUGCUUUUCCAUGUGGUUCCAACACCGUGCACAAGAACAGAGUCGGCUGAACGUACAACACAAACACAGGACUUUACAGCCGCAGGAAAAGGAGUUGUUAUUGAAAGAGAUGGUCAGACGAGAGAGAGAGAGGGAUCACAUGACCGUUACUUCUCUACUCGUCUAGUUGUUUACUGGUCGAAGUCUUGAAGGGAUUGAAGCUGGGUGAAUAUCUGAGUUUGACACAGAUACUGAGAACUGCCCAAAAAAUACCACUGACUUUACAGGAGGAAAUAAUUGUUUU
rnacentral:lncRNA from 13 species